rnacentral:hammerhead_ribozyme from 1 species
AUCCAGAUGACGAGUCCAAAAUAGGACGAAACGCGCGUCCAGUAC